rnacentral:rRNA from 1 species
GAUGAACGCUGGCGGCGUGCCUAAUACAUGCAAGUCGAGCGAACAGACGAGGAGCUUGCUCCUCUGACGUUAGCGGCGGACGGGUGAGUAACACGUGGAUAACCUACCUAUAAGACUGGGAUAACUUCGGGAAACCGGAGCUAAUACCGGAUAAUAUAUUGAACCGCAUGGUUCAAUAGUGAAAGACGGUUUUGCUGUCACUUAUAGAUGGAUCCGCGCCGCAUUAGCUAGUUGGUAAGGUAACGGCUUACCAAGGCAACGAUGCGUAGCCGACCUGAGAGGGUGAUCGGCCACACUGGAACUGAGACACGGACCAGACUCCUACGGGAGGCAGCAGUAGAGAAUCUUCCGCAAUGGGCGAAAGCCUGACGGAGCAACGCCGCGUGAGUGAUGAAGGUCUUCGGAUCGUAAAACUCUGUUAUUAGGGAAGAACAAAUGUGUAAGUAACUAUGCACGUCUUGACGGUACCUAAUCAGAAAGCCACGGCUAACUACGU